GAAAUCAAUACACUUUUACAGUCAAAAUUUAGGGUCUGUUUGGUUCAGGAAAGCACGAAAGUCAUCUGAGAAUGUUUUAUGGUCAGCCUAAAAUUAAACUUCUCAUCGUAAAACAACUUAACCUUUAAAAAAGGGAAGUCGUUUUCCCUUCCCUAACGUUCCUUCAUUUUCCCUUCCCUAAAUCUCUUCACACCUAAAAUCAUUCCAUCAAGUGGCCUUCUUCUCACCGGUGUUUGUUGACUCCGGCGGACGGUCAUCUUCUCAGGUGAUAUAUGUUUAGGUCAUUUUCUGCAGUUGGUGAUAGUGGAGCUUGCAGUUUGCAGAUUUUUAUUGCACUUAAAUGGAAAUGUCCGCAGUGGCCCUUAGCAGCAGUAUCACGGGGGAAGGAGCCUUGAAAUUAUAUUUUUGUCGCUGCGUAUUUACUCACUCUAAUUCGUCUCCAUCGUCAUCCUCAUCAACAACCAAAUUUUUCUUCAGCUUCCCGCUGGUACCUCAGUUUAUGGAACUGGAGAAGUUAGUGGACAGUUAGAGCGAACAGGAAAACGAGUUUUUACAUGGAACACGGAUGCCAGGGGUUAUGGUCCUGAAACUACAUCCUUGUAUCAAUCACAUCCUUGGGUUCUGGCAGUUCUUCCAAAUGGAGAGGCAUUGGGGAUUCUAGCUGACACGACAAGGCGCUGCGAGAUUGAUCUCAGGAUGGGAUGUAGAAUUCAGUUCCUGUCAUUACUUUUGGUCCAUUCCCUUCGUCCACUGAUGUUUUGGUAUCUUUAUCUCAUGCAAUUGG